rnacentral:rRNA from 1 species
UACGGAAGGGGCAAGCGUUGUUCGGAAUCAUUGGGCGUAAAGGGCGCGUAGGCGGUUUUGUUUGUCCGCUGUGAAAGUCCACGGCUCACCCGUGGAGAGUCGGUGGAAACGGCAAGACUUGAGGCUGGGAGGGGUUGGUGGAAUUCCCUGUGUAGCGGUGAAAUGCGUAGAUACGGGGGAGAACACUCGUGGCGAAGGCGGCCAGCUGGCCCAGUCCUGACGCUGAGGCGCGACAGCGUGGGGAGCAAACAGG